rnacentral:piRNA from 1 species
UAAGUACUUUAACAGCCCGACCUAGA